rnacentral:rRNA from 1 species
GAGUUUGAUCAUGGCUCAGGAUGAACGCUAGCGGCAGGCCUAACACAUGCAAGUCGAGGGGUAACAUAAAGUGCUUGCACUUUGAUGACGACCGGCGCACGGGUGAGUAACGCGUAUACAAUCUGCCUCAUACUAGGGGAUAGCCCAGAGAAAUUUGGAUUAAUACCCUAUAGUACCUUUUAGAGUCAUCUCUUUAAGAUUAAAGGUUACGGUAUGAGAUGAGUAUGCGUUCUAUUAGUUAGUAGGUGAGGUAACGGCUCACCUAGACCACGAUAGAUAGGGGCCCUGAGAGGGGGAUCCCCCACACUGGUACUGAGACACGGACCAGACUCCUACGGGAGACAGCAGUGAGGAAUAUUAGACAAUGGGCGAAAGCCUGAUCUAGCCAUGCCGCGUGCAGGAUGACGGCCCUGUGGGUUGUAAACUGCUUUUAUACAGGAAGAAAAAACUCUACGUGUAGAGUCUUGACGGUACUGUAAGAAUAAGGAUCGGCUAACUCCGUGCCAGCAGCCGCGGUAAUACGGAGGAUCCAAGCGUUAUCCGGAAUUAUUGGGUUUAAAGGGUCCGUAGGUGGACAAUUAAGUCAGAGGUGAAAUCCUGCAGCUCAACUGUAGAAUUGCCUUUGAAACUGGUUGUCUUGAGUCAUUAUGAGGUGGUUAGAAUGUGUAGUGUAGCGGUGAAAUGCAUAGAUAUUACACAGAAUACCAAUUGCGAAGGCAGAUCACUAAUAAUGUACUGACACUGAUGGACGAAAGCGUGGGUAGCGAACAGGAUUAGAUACCCUGGUAGUCCACGCCGUAAACGAUGGUCACUAGCUGUUCGGACUUCGGUCUGAGUGGCUAAGCGAAAGUGAUAAGUGACCCACCUGGGGAGUACGUUCGCAAGAAUGAAACUCAAAGGAAUUGACGGGGGCCCGCACAAGCGGUGGAGCAUGUGGUUUAAUUCGAUGAUACGCGAGGAACCUUACCAGGGCUUAAAUGUAGAGUGACAGGUCUAGAGAUAGAUUUUUCUUCGGACACUUUACAAGGUGCUGCAUGGUAGUCGUCAGCUCGUGCCGUGAGGUGUCAGGUUAAGUCCUAUAACGAGCGCAACCCCUGUUGUUAGUUGCCAGCGAGUAAUGUCGGGAACUCUAGCAAGACUGCCAGUGCAAACUGUGAGGAAGGUGGGGAUGACGUCAAAUCAUCACGGCCCUUACGUCCUGGGCUACACACGUGCUACAAUGGUAGGUACAGAGAGCAGCCAAUGCGUGAGCAUGAGCGAAUCUAUAAAACCUAUCUCAGUUCGGAUCGGAGUCUGCAACUCGACUCCGUGAAGCUGGAAUCGCUAGUAAUCGGAUAUCAGCCAUGAUCCGGUGAAUACGUUCCCGGGCCUUGUACACACCGCCCGUCAAGCCAUGGAAGCUGGGGGUACCUAAAGUCGGUCACCGAAAGGAGCCGCCUAGGGUAAAACUAGUAACUAGGGCUAAGUCGUAACAAGGUAACC